GACGAACGUUGGCGGCGUGCUUAAUACAUGCAAGUCCACUGAAGCAGUGGUAGCAAUAUCGCUGUGGAGGUGGCGCACGGGUGAGUAACACGUAGGUAAUCUGCCUUCAGGUCUGGCAUAACUCCGGGAAACCGGGGCUAAUAGCAGAUGAUGCAGCGGCUCGACAUCGAGACAGUUGUUAAAGCUAUGGCGCCUGAAGAUGAGCCUGCGUCUGAUUAGCUAGUUGGCGGGGUAACGGCCCACCAAGGCAACGAUCAGUAGCUGGUCUGAGAGGAUGAUCAGACACACUGGAACUGAGACACGGUCCAGACUCCUACGGGAGGCAGCAGUAAGGAAAAGUGCUCAAUGGGAGAAAUCCUGAAGCAGCAACGCCGCGUGAGGGACGAAGGGCUUUUGCUUGUAAACCUCUGUAGUAAGAGAAAAAAAUCCCAAUCUUUGGGACAUGCUGGUACCUCAAAAGUAAGCCCCGGCUAACUACGU
rnacentral:rRNA from 1 species